AAACAGACCAUUGUGUUCACCUGCACCACGACACACUACCAAGCAUGAGAAGCCAAAACUAAAAAAAAAAAAAAAUAAAUAAAUAAAUAAAUAACUGCUGGUGUUAAAAUAUUUCAUUCAAAAACUCGAUAACUGUUCUUGAUGUCAGUGGCGUUUGAAAAAAUAUAUAUAUCUCUUACGCCACAACAUUCUAUUAAAGUCGAAGGCAGGAACCACAACAGUAAAAACUGACUGUAGACAUGAGAACAACUCCAAGAACUCGAAUACUUCUUUUAAUGUCAGUAGUGUUUGAAGAAUGCAUGCUUCACCUCCACGGCCACAUUUCAUUAACCUCACAGGGGAAAAAAAAGACAAUUUCUGGAACUCAUUACUCUUUUUGUCAUUAGCGACUAAGAAAAUAAUCGACGACACUUACACUGCGUCCUAUCAAGGUUGGUGGAGAAGCCAUUGGACUAAAGAAAACCAAGAGUCCACUUCAUUACACCUCUCCAGUCAGUGAUACCUUUGGAAAUUCUCAACUUUUCACCACAAAACGUUCCAUCAAGAAGCAGUUGGCCAAAAUAAUAAUGUCAGAAGUAAGACAAAGCUUUGAAGAAAGAACAUCUGUCAUAAAGUGUUACUGGAGGCACGAAAAUGUCAAAGAAGUGCAAAGACAAUUCAGAAGACACUUUGACAGGGAUCCACCCAGGUGACGCACCAUUGCUCGCAUCACAGCUAAAUUUGCAUCAACCAGCAGCAGCAGCAGCAGCAGCAUGUCAGUAGUAGCAGGAGUAGUGAAUGGUCACUCGUAUGUGGUGACUACUUGGACUAUCAGGCCGCCCUUGUAGUGUGCUGGACUAUUGGUCAACAAGGAGCCCUGAAAGUUACGUGGUACAACUAUUUCGGCGAUAGUAAUGGCUGUAAGUAGUAGUAGUAGUUGUAGUAAUAGUAGUAGUAAUAGUAGUUAUGCGUGUAAUGUCAAUAUGGUCCAUUUUGUAACUGUAAUUGGAAAAAUUCUCGACUUUAUGUUUCUUAAAGGCGUGACGUAAUUAGAGAAAACGUAUGUAUUUUAAGGGACACUAGCCUGUACUUCAUUAUUCCUGUUUAUUGCUAUUAAAGGAGUUUCUUGAUAGUUUUACUUGUAUAUACUAUUUAAAUCUACUAUUCAAUUUAUUAUGUGUAAGUGGGAGAUGUCAGAGAAAGAGCCAUAUUUAUAAUUUUCAUUUGUAAGGUCAAUAAGGUCCAUUUUAUUAAGUAAAUUUAUAAGAUGCUCGACCUUAUGUUUCUUAAAUGAGUGACGUAAUUAGAGAAAACGUGUGUCUUUUAAGGAACACUAACCUAUACUUCAUUAAUGUGGUUAUUGUUGUUAUACGAGUUUUCCGGUGUAUAUACUAUUUAAAUCUACUAUUUUGUGUUGUAUAAUACUAUGUUUGUAUGGUAAAACUAAGAGAAAGAGUCAUAUUUGUAAUGUUUACAUGUAAGGUCAAUAUGGUCUAGUCUGUAACUGUAAUUUGAAGGAUUUUCAACCUUUUGUUUCUUAGUAAAUGACGUAAUUAGAAAAAACGAAUCUUCUUUAAGGGGAAACUAAACAACAAUGAAUUAUUCCUCUUUAUUCUUAAUACUGCAGAUAUUUGGGUAGUUUUGGGCGAAUAUUCUAUUUAGACGUAGUGUUUUGUAAUGUGCGGCAGUACUAGAUGCCACACUGAAGUGGUAGAAGUGAGAGAAGAAGCCUUAUUUAUGAAAUGUGACAGAAAACCUAACAAUGAAUGGAGGGUGAACAAGGAGGAGCGACAGAGGGAAGAAAGGGGCAAACAACAGGAACAAAAGGAACAACACGAAUAGGAGAGAGAGAACAGGAGGAGGAGGAGGAGGAAGAGAAACUGAAAGAUACGGAAGAGAAGGAGGAGCAGGAGGAAGAGGAAGAGGAAGAAGAGGAAAACAAAGAAAAACUUCGAUAACAAAACUCUCUCUCUCUCUCUCUCUCUCUCUCUCUCUCUCUCUCUCUCUCUCUCUCUCUCUCUCUCUCUCUCUCUCUCUCAGCCGC